GCCAGAGAGGCGGGGGCCUGGCCACUCAGGCCCUGGCUGAGGCCAGGAUUUUUGGCCGGGCUGCGGGGCCCUCCCUCCCGCUUCCUCUCCCGAGGGCUGUCCUGGCAGAGGCCCCCUCGCACUUUUCUGGCGGGAACACGGCCAGCAUGGAGAGAACAGCCACAGAGGGAAAGCGGGAAGGAGAUGGAGGAAAGUGUGUGUGUGUGUGUGUGUGCAGGAAGAAGGCCCGCAGUCCAGUCCGACCCAGCCUGGGAGGCUCUCGCCGGCCAGCAAUUACGCUUUGGGGAUAAAACGAGGCGCAGAGUGCGGGCCGGGCAUUCCUCCUCCGGAGAUGGCGGGUCUGACUGCGGCGGCCCCACGGCCCGGACCCGGAGCCCUGCUCGCGCUCCCGCUCCUGCUCUGCCUCCUCCGCCCCGCGCAGCCUGGAGGUAAGAGCCCCUUGCCGGUCCCCUGCUGCCCGCAGCCCUCGCAGCCCCUCCGGCCAGGUGCUGGACUGACAGGCUGGCAGAGGAACCCUUCACGCCCCAGCCUCCCGCUCAGCCCCAGGAGUCGCCUCGAGAGCCAGCCCUGUGCUGGAGGAACCUGUCACACAGACGCCCUGUGACUUGGGAUGCUCCCUAGCCCUGUCCAGGAGGGCAGCAUGGACUUUGCUCCACCAGAUCCGCCCCUUACUGCCAUUUGGGCUCUGAUUGGCCACUUGCACACCUGUGGGGCCAGCUGGGUGCCCGUGCCACCCUGCGGAGCGGGCACCUGUGUUGGAGACCACUCUGCCACAGCGAGCUGUGCAACCUCGGCAGGCUCCCUGUCCCCCAGGAAGUCAGGGUCCCCCUCUGCCGAGGUCAGGGCCAAGCUGAUGAUGGGCUCGUGGGUCAGAAGGCUGCUGCUGUGACCCGUCCCUGGCAAGGGGCACGGGGAGGCCUGAGUGCGAUGCGUGCAUGGGCAAGGUGUCAUGUGCUGUCUUGCACAGAUGGACGCGUGGGCCAUGCCCAAACAUGUCACUGAGCGGGAUGGAGUUUCUGGGAAGGGAGGAAGGUCUGCACAUGGCUUCACCCUGAGACAGGUGGACGUGGGGCUGGGGGUCACGCAUGAAGUUGCCUGUUCAAGUCAACAGAAGUCUACCAACCUACACGAACGCAUGGGAGACUGGGAGUCCAGAGUGUCCCAGGGGUCCCAGGGGUGGUGCCCGGUGGUGUGCCUGGUGGCAUUCCCGGAGGCGUUCCUGGAGGCGUCUAUUAUCCAGGUGAUGUACACGGUGCCCCUAAGACGUGUCCCUGCCCCUGGACACUGCAGAAGACAAGAGUCAUGCCUACCUAGAAACUCCAUCCCCGGGAACCUGUGUCACAGGCACAAGGGCAGAAAGAUUCUGAAAGAUGAAACAAGAUCCCCCAGCUGUGGGGGAUGGGCGCUCUGUCAGACGAUCCGCAGCCUCCUGGCCACUAAUCCUGCUCCUGGCAAUUCGCUUUGCUGGAAGCAAAUACUUGCAAAGGAGAGAAAAAGAGCAGUCAGGCUCAUAGGAGCAUUAUAA
rnacentral:lncRNA from 1 species